rnacentral:rRNA from 1 species
ACGAACGCUGGCGGCGUGCCUAAUACAUGCAAGUCGAACGGUCUUUCUAUGGAAGCUUGCUUCCACUGAGAAGAUAGUGGCGAACGGGUGAGUAACACGUGGGUAACCUGCCCAUAAGAGGGGGGAUAACAUCCGGAAACGGGUGCUAAUACCGCAUAGUUUUCUUGAUCGCAUGAUUGAGAAAGGAAAGACGGCCUUUGUGCUGUCGCUUAUGGAUGGACCCGCGGCGUAUUAGUUAGUUGGUGAGGUAAUGGCUCACCAAGACGAUGAUACGUAGCCGACCUGAGAGGGUGAUCGGCCACAUUGGGACUGAGACACGGCCCAAACUCCUACGGGAGGCAGCAGUAGGGAAUCUUCCGCAAUGGACGAAAGUCUGACGGAGCAACGCCGCGUGAGUGAAGAAAAGGUUUUCGGAUCGUAAAACUCUGUUGUCAGAGAAGAACAAGUUGGAGAGUAACUGCUCCAGCCUUGACGGUAUCUGACCAGAAAGCCACGGCUAACUACGUGCCAGCAGCCGC